CAAAUGAUAGAUUGCAUAUAGGCUAAUCAGGCUGAGUUUUGACCUUGAACAAUUUGCAAAAGAAAAUAAAAUUACACUGUGCGAAAGAACAUGAUCACAAUAACUUUCUACCAAAAGUUGCAUAAAAUCGACCUUGCAAUUUUAACAAAAACAAACUUGAAAAUUCUGCCAAACAGGAGAUUUGACGAUAGCCAAACGCGGACACCAUACUAGCGUGUUUCAGUAAGCGCGUGGGAAAUAUGACGUCAUACGAUAACUUCCGCACCGCCAUAUUUUCAAUUCCAAAGAUGUAAACAAAGUUCCGCAGGCAGUUUGAUGCUUUAAACAGAGACAUUUUAAGAUUUAGACACGCUGAUCCUGUGUGACAGAUAUGAUACAGACGGGGAAGAUUGUGGUACUUCUUAUAAUGAAAUUGUUCGAACACGUCAAUUGAAAAGAUAGGCGGUACACAUUUUAUUAAAUCUAGUUAUGCAUGCUGACUCUGUGUGACUGACAUGCUGAAGUCGGAAAAUCAAACGAGUGUGUUUGAGGACAUUGCUUACCAUAUGUCCCUCUGAACGAUUGAACAAUGCUAUAGAGUAAACUAGUAAUUGAUAAAGAACUAUGGAAGAGUGUCCUAUUUGCAAAGGGCAAUUUGAAGAUGGACAACCAGUUGUAUGUCUCCGUAAGAAGGGGAGCGACGGAAUCAAUAAUGCUACCAUAGCAAGAGGAACUAACAUUUUUAUAUGUAAAGGACAAUAUGUACACGUACAGUGUCGCCAUGACUAUAUUCAUAUUCGAAACUCUUUGACAAACAGUGAUAUGAAUAAUAAUCCUGUUACAUCUAGGUCUUUACGUUCAGAAGAUUCAUUUGAUUUUAAAACAAAAUGUCUUUUUUGUACAAAAAAAUGCUAAAGUAAGUGUGAACAAACGUGGGUAUGAUGUCUUUCCUGUUCGUAGUUUCGAAUUUCAGAAAACUGUACCUAAAUUAUAUAAUGAAAGAAAAGACGAGUGGGCAGUCAACAAAUUAAGCAGACUUUCCCUUGCGAUAGACCUUCCAGCGGCUAAAGCAGUUUACCAUCAGAAGUGCAAUGUCACCUUCAGGACAGGUAGAUAUUUCCCAUGUCAAAACUACUUGAAACAUUUCUUUUGCAUGUACUUCAAGGUUAGGCCCCUUUUAGGGCUAGCCUGAUUAGCCUAAUAGUAAAUAUUUGAUAUAGGCACUGGCGUUGAAUAUAUUUUGAAUUCCCUCAACAAUUUGCCUGAAAAUGAUUUUGGCAGAAUUAAUCAAUUGGUACGGUAACCACUUUUUUGUAUUGACAUUCCCUUUCUCUAGAACUAAAACUGUCUAGCUUCAUACCAUCUUUCUAAUUACUGUAAUUAUUUCCAGCAACAUUUAUAUUUGUUAGCCAAGAUUUUGAUAAAAUAAUAGCUGCAUUUGCAUAUUUAUUUGAAGAAAAAAUAAAACAUUUGAAACAGACUUGUGAUGUAGAUUAAGUGGUUUCUCACCUAAAUUUCAGAGAGACACACUACUGAUCAAGUCUUAUGGAAAAUAGGUAGAAAAUUUGGCCUCUAAGGUGUUAACAAGAUCUUUCAGUUUUAAACUUUGUUAAUGUAACAAUUCUGACAAAAAAAGUUUAUGAAGAUCAAGUAAAACAUGCUGCCACUGGAGCAUAAACAAGAUUUUUUCCAAUGAUUUGACUUGAUGAAUAGGAAUAUUAAUUGAUUUUGACUGCCGGUUUCUAAUUACAGUUUAAUUCUUAUGUGAAUCAGAUAGUUUUCCUUUAAUUACAUUGAUCUACAUCCAGGAUACUAGAAGACAUGAGCAUUUUUAAAAAUAUCACAAAUUACCACUCAUUGAAGUAGAAGUGUCUAAAGUAAAGCACUAGUAUUUUAGAAAAGAUCCAUCUUUAAGCUCGAAAGAAACAAUUAAACAUGAUGAAACUGAAAACAAUUUUGCAUAUAAGUCAUACAAAUUAUUAUUGAAAAAUUCCCCACUACAUUUAUAUCCAUCAGCAAAAAGAGGUUUGUAUGGUUUUUAGCAAAUUUUAACAAAAAGGUCAAUCUAUAUAUAUGAUCCCCUGAAAAAAAACAAUUCUGUAAAAUUCUUUGUAAAUUGGACCAGUAUUGAAGGAGAAAAAUGUGUAUAUUUUUAGCUUUUCAAUGAGCUGAACAGUAUGGUCCACUUUCUAAGAGGCUAAUAUAAGGAACCUGCACGCUGCAACAAUUUUUUUAAAAGAUGUUGCUUGAAGAAAAUGAUUGACAGACAGACAAAAGCAGGCCUUUGAGUGAUAACAAUAUGUUGUGGGGAAUAUAAUUUUUUAGCUUUUUAACCGCUGUCUUGUUUAACAGCCUGUCUAUAUGUUCGUUUAAUAGUUUGCUUGGAAGCAGGGGUCUAACCUAGCAGUUUUCUAGUAGUAAAUUAUUACGUCAGAAUAACUGACACGUCAGGAUGACACCACCCUUUACUUUGAAAGGGAAAAUAAAAACACAAAUGCUGAAUGAAUUUGAAAACCAACCAAAUUUUUACUUAUCUUUCUAAACUUAUAUUUUACAAAGUCAUCUAAAUAUACAAGUUAGAAAAAUGCCAAAAAUACUGAUAAAGAUGACAAAUUAGCUUAAUGAAUAAAAAGAAUAAAGUUUUAAGUUCUGCCAAAAGCUAAAUAAUAAUCUAAAUAAAUGUUAUUAUUAAAGUAUCUAAAUGUAUUUUUGUGACUCUGUACCUGUAUGACUCUGUGCCUAAAUAUAACAGCAAUAUAAAUUAAUUAUCAAUAUUUACUGAAGUAUUUAAAGAUGAAAAUCUAAAAUAAUUGAUGUUAAAACAAUAGAAUAUAAGUUGCUUAAUUAAAGAAAAUUACUUACUAAUUUAGAGAAAAGUUACAAUAAAUUUAGUAAAACUCUUAGGUUAAAUAAAUAGCCAAAAAUAAAUACAAAAUUAAUUAAUUAUUAAUUACUAAACCCUAAGAGAGUUGUUUAGAUGUUGUCAGUCCAAAAAUUCCUUACAGAGUGAAGAAAUGGCUCUGAAAUUCUACUGAGGUAAACUCUUCCAGAAUGCAGUCAACCAUGAAGGAUGUAAAGUACAUUCUGAUUGGUCAGCAUUUUUCUGAUAAGCCAUUCAACAUUUAUCUUACAUAUCAGCUGUGACCUUGACAAUGCUUAUGUAAACUCUUUGUCUAUAAUCUAAAAAUAGCUCAAUGUUCUUUCAUAACUGGUCUUACUAAAAAUAGCUGAUGUAAAUACAAAAUGAAAAUACAUGUAUGUAAUGAUAUCAAAUGCAGUUUGUUGCAGUAAAGAUAAACUGGAAGUACUGAUGACUAUGAAGUAAAUAAGCAAUAAUAAAGUAUCAAAUGAAUAUACUGAACUGUGUGAAUGUGCAUGAAGAAUGAUCUACAUAGAUAAAUCAGCAGUCUUUCAAUAGACUAACUGAAUGCCCUAAAUUAAAAAUUUUGUUUACUUAACGCUGUCUUUUUGAACAGUCUGACUAUACGUUCGUUUAAUAGUUUGCUUGGAAGCAGUGGUUAGCAGAUUACUAGUAGUAAACUAUUACGUCAGAAUUACUGACACGUCAGGAUGACACCACCCUUUACUCAGAAAGGGAAAAUAAAAACACAAAUGCUGAAUAAAUUUAAAAACCAACCAAAUUUUUACUUAUCUUUCUAAACUAAUAUUUUACAAAAAGAUCUAAAUAUACAAGUUAGAAAAAUGCCAAAAAUACUGAUAAAGAUGACAAAUCAGCUUAAUGAAUAAAAAGAAUAAAGUUCUGCCAAAAGCUAAAUAAUUAUCUAAAUAAAUGUUAUUAUUAAAGUAUCUAAAUGUAUUUUUGUGACUCUGUACUUGUAUGACUCUGUGCCUAAAUAUAACAGCAAUAUAAAUUAAUAUCAAUAUUUACUGAAGUAUUUAAAGAUGAAAAUCUAAAAUAAUUGCUGUUAAAAAUAGAAUGCAAGUUACUUAAUUAAAGAAAAUUACUUACUAAUUUAGAAAAAAGUUACAAUAAAUUUAGUAAAACUCUUAGGUUAAAUAAUACAAAAUUAAUUAAUUAUUAAUUACUAAACCCUAAGAGAGUUUUUUAGAUGUUGUCAGUCCAAAAAAUUCCUUACAGAGUGAAGAAAUGGCUCUGAAAUUCUACUGAGGUAAACUCUUCAAGAAUGCAAUCAACCAUGAAGAAGGUAAAGUACAUUCUGAUUGGUCAGCAUUUUUCUGAUAAGCCAUUCAACAUUUAUCUUACAUAUCAGCUGUGACCUUGGCAAUGCUUAUGUAAACUCUUUGUCUAUAAUCUAAAAAUAGCUCAAUGUUCUUUCAUAACUGGUCUUACUAAAAAUAGCUGAUGUAAAUACAAAAUGAAAAUACAUGUAUGUAAUGAUAUCAAAUGCAGUUUGUUGCAGUAAAGAUAAGCUGAAUGUACUGAUGACUAUGAAGUAAAUAAGCAAUAAUAAAGUAUCAAAUGAAUAUACUGAACUAGCUGAAUACCCUUAAUGACUUGCUAAAUGUCUAUGCUUUCAAAUCUUAAAAUACCAUACUAUUUGUAAAUACAAACAUUUAUGAUAAAAUAUUAGACUGUUAGAUAAUAUUAUGCAAUACUGAAACUACCAACUUUACAACAAAUACAUGUAGCUCACCAUAUGCAAGUUGUGUUAUUUGGAACUCACUUUGUUCAGUACAUAUGGCAAGUAAGGAACUAUGUCUGCAAACAUUAUUCUUUUGACAAAACAGUUUUGAUAAAAAUGUAAUGUGUUCAGAUGUUUUAAUAGCAUUAAAACGUAAUGAAAUUCUGACCAAAAAAGUAUGAACAAAAUGAACCGACAUAAUUACUGAUUCAAACUUAAACAGCAACACAAAUUGCACUGCUGAAAAUGAGUGAUGUCUAAAACUCAAACACUAAAAGUUAAAGACAAAGAAUGUUUAUGAAAAUAAAUCAUCUAAAAGUUUACAUACAGGAAAUUUGCCACAAAAGUCCAAAAAUAUUUUUACAGUAGAAACAGUUUGAAAUUCUUCAAGCUCAACAUUAGAAUAUUAUAAUUUUACAACAGAAAGAAAUGUAUUUUUAUUAAUUUUAAUCCCGUUUUCUUUUAUCACACAGCUUCAAC
rnacentral:lncRNA from 1 species